AGAGAACCCUGUAUUAUUGUGUAUUCGACCGGUGGUCCUUUUAGGGGCAAAAACGAGUGCGCCCGAGCCAGGGAGCUCGGCUCUGCACCAGGCGCUCGCCCCGACCCCGUCUUCCUCCGCCGCCUCGCCGCGCCGGCCGGCAUCACCGGAGAUCACCGCCGCCGCGAACAGCGCCGCCAUGGCCGCCCCGAGCUUUGCUGGCAGCCACGCCGCGUGACUCCGGCGGGAUCCGCUCGCCCCUGCCCGGAUCCGCAUCCCCCAAUCCACCGCGCCGCAGAUCCGCCCGUCCGCCAGCCUCCCCCCUGCUCGACUCGGGUGGACGGGCGAAGUUUCUGACUUGCCAUUGUAGUUGACCUGAAGCUCCAUUGGUGAGGACCAUUGUCGCUGCUACAGGUUAGGGAGGAGGCUCGAGGCAGCCACAAAUUAUGUCCUGCACUGCUUCAACACCGGCCUAUUCUAGCAUAAUCUUCUGCCGUGAGGAUUUGAUGCAGCAAGGGCCAUUUGUUUGACAGAAAUAGAGUUGUUGCCGCAAGAGAGGUACAAAUCAAGGACCGAGGAGGGAUGAGUGUGAAUUUGAUCUAAGUUGGGUUACUUUCUAUGAAUAGACGAUGCGAUUGCUUUGUUAUUUCGUUUAAUUAAUAGAAAAAUUGAUGAGGCAAUUGGAAGAAUCAAGCAGCAAUUUUACUACAUAUCUGCGCCAUUGAUUUGGUCAUCUCUGUCACUAGCAAGUUGCAUAAGAAAGAGUGUGGCGUUGCAGAGGCGUGUAUAAUUGUGAGUCCCUCAAUUAUAGAGAGGAUCCAGGUGAAAGAUGUAGGUGGUGUGCGGAUUGAACUCUAGAUCAGGAACCUGCAGUACUAGAUGGACGAUAACUAUGCUUACAAUUGUUGACCGAACACUGUGAGGUAUGUGCCUGUCCCUCUUCCACCCAUAUCAACAAGUAAUUUUGGAAGAAGCUAAUUUAGUGUAGCAAGAACAUCAUAUUUUAGAUACAGUCUGCAAAUCAAUGUACUUUGUCCGUCUUUCCUUCACCAAAGCAUGCGUUGUGAGAUCAUGAUUACUACCAGGUACUCCCUCUGUAAACUAAUAUAAGAGCGUUUAGAUCACUAUUUUAGUGAUCUAAAUGCUCUUAUAUUAGUUUACGGAGGGAGUACAACAUUGCAAUUUAUUGUCCAAAAUGUUCCUUGAACACACUCCCAAAUUCCCAACCAUCAGCAAUUAUAGUCUCCUCAAUUCAGAUGCAUAAUUACAUAAUAUUGUUAUACAUGUUGCUUAAGUUGAUCACCAUUAUGCUGUUAAUUGGACCUCAAGAAUAGAUAUGACACCUUACCUUAGGCAGCUCUUUAUUUUGUGGACGUUAAUUCAAUUUUGGAAGUUGAUUCAAGUCUGUUGUGCUUGAAGUAGAUUCAUAGAAGCUACAGUUCUGUUAGUAUAUGAACAAAAAGCUUAUCUUAUAUGUGUGACCGGAGUUGCAGAAUAUGAAUAGGGGAAUGAUCAUAGAUGCCAACACCUACAGUAUGAUUUAUCUUGAUAGAGGUGCAGUGGAUUUGUAAGUAGUUUUAGUGUUUUUUUGUAGAUAGCUCAAGUACUUGAGCUUCUGCAAUCAUGAAAAAAACAAAACAAGGGACCAGUAGUCAGGUUCUAGUACACUGAUGCUUUCUCUGUUAAAAUCUUGACACACAUUAUCAAUCUCAAUAGCUUAAUCGAUUCUAAGCUCACCAGAAGUAUUUGUUCAGAAUUUGGAUCAUCGGUCGCAUAUGCUUAUACUCGAACCCUCUAUAACGUGGUAUUCUUGUGCCAGAUUUUUGCCAUUCGGUAAUAGUUAUAAUUGCAUACUUCGAUCUAGGAGUAAUGGUUGUCCCAGGAUGCGUCUCAUGUCUUACUUUGUGACAGCAGUUGGUUGCAUUUCAGUGACAGUCAAUUCAACCUUGAACAAGCAACUAAAUAGCAGGUCUUCUUUGGUUGGAAUCACCACAUCUCAUCUAUGUUACUGCAAAAGCUUUUCAUUAUUGGACCAAGCUUAUGCGAUAUGCAUUGCAGUAAGUAUUAGUUACCAUGUUCAGUUUGUAUGACCAAUUUAAUUACUUCUCUUGUGUGGAGAAAAACUCUUUAAUUGCUUCUUUUGUUUGUGCGAAUAAAGCCGUCGAGUUACUUCAAAAAUGUCAUUUUCUCCUAGGAUGUAAGAUUAUGUUAUGUGGGCGGGCUGAUUGAUUUGCAGGUCAGUAAGGCUGUACAUUGUGUGGAGGAACUGAAUGUGUAUCCUGUUCAGUGCACAUCGACAAAACUGGAUUCAAAAAAGUAAAAUAUAGCACUUGUGUGGCAUCUAUCAUCGAGCAGCACCCUUACUGUGACGUCUAAAAAGGAAACGGUUUACUGGAUCAGAUGUGGAAGAGGAAAAGAAAUCGGAAGCAAAUCCAUACAACAACUCGACCAGCAGUAAAGUACCCAGCUUUCAGAGAUUGGACACCUAGAUUAGUACACAGAAAAGUUGGACUACUUGAUCGUCUUGAAGGAGGAUGUCUACAUGUACUAAACCAGUAAAUCGUUCAUGGAUAUUUCUUUAUAAUGUCUGCAAUGACUCGUUCGUCGCUAUUUAAAAUUUUGAUUA